rnacentral:rRNA from 1 species
UGGGGAAUUUUGGACAAUGGGCGAAAGCCUGAUCCAGCAAUGCCGCGUGUGUGAAGAAGGCCUUCGGGUUGUAAAGCACUUUUGUCCGGAAAGAAAUCCUUGGCUCUAAUACAGUCGGGGGAUGACGGUACCGGAAGAAUAAGCACCGGCUAACUACGUGCCAACAGCCGCGGUAAUACGUAGGGUGCAAGCGUUAAUCGGAAUUACUGGGCGUAAAGCGUGCGCAGGCGGUUUGCUAAGACCGAUGUGAAAUCCCCGGGCUCAACCUGGGAACUGCAUUGGUGACUGGCAGGCUAGAGUAUGGCAGAGGGGGGUAGAAUUCCACGUGUAGCAGUGAAAUGCGUAGAGAUGUGGAGGAAUACCGAUGGCGAAGGCAGCCCCCUGGGCCAAUACUGACGCUCAUGCACGAAAGCGUGGGGAGCAAACAGGAUUAGAUACCCUGGUAGUCCACGCCCUAAAACGAUGUCAACUAGUUGUUGGGGAUUCAUUUCCUUAGUAACGUAGCUAACGCGUGAAGUUGACCGCCUGGGGAGUACGGUCGCAAGAUUAAAACUCAAAUGAAUUGACGGGGUCAUAGCUGUUUCCU